rnacentral:SRP_RNA from 1 species
UUGUGCUAAGCGGGGGACUGGCGGUACCCUGAACCCACAAUCCGCCAUAGUGGGGCCGAAUUCCGGCCCGAGGUCUCGUCGUUCGGCGCCUGACCCUCGUAAGUGGCGUUGAGGGCUGGGUCCCGCGCAAGGUGACGUCCGCAGAACCCCGUCAGGCCCGGAAGGGAGCAGCGGUAAGCGGAUCGAGCCGGUGCCGCGGAUCACCUGGCCGGAGCUGGCUGCGAGGGUAACGGUCGGGCGGCGUUAUCGACGGUUCGGUGCACAA